rnacentral:rRNA from 1 species
AUGCUAAGCGGCAGGCAGCCAAGUGCAAACAGGAAGGCGUACAAGUCAUUGAAGAUACUCGUCUGUCGGGCAAUUUGGAAUGAAAGGAAUGCGAGAGUAUUUCACAGCAAGGCCUCUUUGCCCACCCAUAUGGUUUCGUCGAUCAAGGCAGAGGUGAAGCUUUGUGUUAUUGCUGGCGCAAAAUAUUUGGGAAAUAUUGUACCGGGAGAGUGA